rnacentral:rRNA from 2 species
UUGACCUCGGAUCAGGUAGGACUACCCGCUGAACUUAAGCAUAUCAAUAAGCGGAGGAAAAGAAACCAACAGGGAUUGCCCCAGUAACGGCGAGUGAAGCGGCAACAGCUCAAAUUUGAAAUCUGGCCCUCGGGCCCGAGUUGUAAUUUGGAGAGGAUGCUUUUGGCGCGGCGCCGUCCGAGUUCCUUGGAACAGGACGCCAUAGAGGGUGAGAGCCCCGUACGGGCGGCCGCCUAGCCUUUGUAAAGCUCCUUCGACGAGUCGAGUAGUUUGGGAAUGCUGCUCAAAAUGGGAGGUAAAUUUCUUCUAAAGCUAAAUACCGGCCAGAGACCGAUAGCGCACAAGUAGAGUGAUCGAAAGAUGAAAAGCACUUUGAAAAGAGGGUUAAACAGUACGUGAAAUUGUUGAAAGGGAAGCGCCUGUGACCAGACUUGCGCCCCGUGGAUCAUCCGGUGUUCUUCACCGGUGCACUCCGCGGGCUGCAGGCCAGCAUCGGUUUUCCUAGGGGGACAAAGGCCGCAGGAACGUGGCUCCUUCGGGAGUGUUAUAGCCUGUGGCGUCAUGCCUCUGGGGGGACCGAGGACCGCGCUUCGGCAAGGAUGCUGGCGUAAUGGUCACCGGCGACCCGUCUUGAAACACGGACC